CUGCUGGCUGUAGCUAAGUGACACCUCACUCAGAUCUAUGGAAGGGGACUUCCAGAGAUGGAAAAGGAAGGAACUUUUCCUCACACAGGUCCAGAGGGCUUUUACUGUGAAGGGAAGAUGAACAGAAGGGGAGAAUUCACGCUGGAGCUCCUGGCCCCUGGUCUGGCUCCCUGGGCACUCAGACAGCACACCGAGGUUGACUGCCUUUCCUCAGACCCCAGGGCUUCCCAUCAUCUUCCACAGAACACCCUCAGACACUGGCCUGGAACGGCACCAGCCCAGAGGAGGACGCCAGUCAAUAAGCAGGAAAAACUCCCAAAUUGUAACUUAACAGAGUGGUCUUUUUUUUUUCUUUAAUUCCCAAAAUGUGUUUUCCCCAGUCCCCAAGCACAGACCUGUGGUUUUGUCUCCUUGGCUUUACAGUCUCUGCCUCGAGCCAAGAGACUUGGCUGAGCUUCCCCCUGAGUCAGACUCUCGGCUGGUAGCUGAACCCAGGAAGUUCUGGCCCCCACAUCUCUCCCUAGAACCACCAGCCCACACCGCCUCCUGCGCUCAGCCCUUUGGCUGGGUGUCCUGCCCGCUCUUUGUUGGGAAAGCGUGGUCUUAUGUAACUCCAGAACCUACUAAAUGCUCCAUUGUCUUCUGCUCGGGAGCGUUCAGAGCAACCUAUUUCUGACUUAGGACUUAUCACCGCGAUAGGAUCUCCCCGGCAUCUCCUCCUCAGCCCCUUGGACCUGGCCUCACCUGCCUCCAGCAGUCAACAGGCAGCCUUAAUGCUUGUGGUCUCGGGGAAUUACAGGUUCAGAACAAGGUACAGGGAAUACAAAGGCAGGUUCAUCUGCAGGUCAGGGUGGUUCGUUCGGUUCAGGCCACUCAGGAAAGCCAUUUGUAACUCAAGGCUGUGGCAGGCGUAAACAGUUCUGAUCUGAUUAUUCCUUUACUAAUCUGAUUUUGAUAAACAGCUGAUGAAAACGGGCGGUGUCUUGGCCCUCGAAGAAGAGAUACCCGGGCAAUACAAUCAGUGUCUAUUAUCUCACCGGGCAGGGAUUGAUUUUAAGACGCCUAUUAAUAGCUCAGCGUGGUAAGAACUGUGACCUCUGCCCUGGAUCUGAAAAGCCAGAAGAGGAAAGUGACAGCCGCCUAUUGGCAUGAUAAAGAGACUUAGGAUAGUGCCCACAGUCACCACUGUGCCAAGGAUGUUGACAAUGACGGUGAAGUUGGUGACGGUGCUGCCGAUAGUGACUGUGAUGACCAGUCAACUUGACCACAUCUGGAAUCAGCUAGAACACAAGCCACUGGGCACUCCUGUGAGGGGUUUUCUCAAUCAAAUUGUUUGAGAUUGAAGACCAGAAGCUGUCUAGGAAUUCUCCAGGCCUCCAACUCCAGACUUCUGAGGCAUCUAGUCUCAUGGACUGAGCAACUAUGGGGUUCUUAGCCUCCCUGGUAUGAGACAGACAUUGGUGGACUACGUGGACCAUAUUAUGUAAGCCACUCCAAUGAAUCUCCCAUGGGGAGGGUAUGUGUGUACUGUGUAUCUGUCUGUC